CAGUCGCCACGGGAACACCAGCAGCCCAAGUGGUGGUCGCGUUUAUUGGGCCUAAAGCGCUCGUAGCCUGACCGGUAAGUUCCCCGUGAAAUCGGGUCGCCCAACGAUUCGGCUUGCGGGGAAUACUGUCGGUCUUGGGGCCGGGAGACGCCGAGGGUACUCCGGGGGUAGCGGUGAAAUGCUGUAAUCCUCGGGGGACUACCAGUGGCGAAGGCGCUCGGCGAUAACGGGCCUGACGGUGAGGGGCGAAAGCUGGGGGCGCGAACGGGAUUAGAUACCCGUGUAGUCCCUGUCUCUUAUA
rnacentral:rRNA from 1 species